rnacentral:rRNA from 1 species
GAUGAACGCUGGCGGCGUGCCUAAUACAUGCAAGUCGAGCGAACAGACGAUGAGCUUUCCCCUCUGACGUUAGCGGCGGACGGGUGAGUAACACGUGGAUAACCUACCUAUAAGACUGGGAUAACUUCGGGAAACCGGAUCUAAUACCGGAUAAUAUAUUGAACCGCAGGGUUCAAUAGUGAAAGACGGUUUUGCUGUCACUUAUAGAUGGAUCCGCGCCGCAUUAGCUAGUUGGUAAGGUAACGGCUUACCAAGGCAACGAUGCGUAGCCGGCCUGAGAGGAUGAUCGGCCACACUGGAACUGAGACACGGUCCAGACUCCUACGGGAGGCAGCAGUGGGGAAUCUUGCACAAUGGGCGCAAGCCUGACCCAGCCACGCCGCGUGAGUGAAGAAGGUCUUCGGAUCGUAAAGCUCUGUUAUUGGGGAAGAACAACAGUAUAAGAAUACAUCGCCGUUUUGACGGUACCCAAAGAGAAAGCACCGGCUAACUACGUG